GGAACAUCAACCCUGUUACAUAUCUUAGUAUCAUCAGCAAAAAGACAUACCUUACCAUCAAGACCUUCUGCAAUAUCACUAAUAAAAAUAUUAAAGAGAAUGGGUCCAAGUACAGAUCCCUGAGGUACCCCACUGGUGACAAGUCCAAGCUUCGAAUAUAUUCCAUUAACUAAAACCCUCUGUUGCCUGUCACUCAGCCACUGCCUUACCCAUUCAACAAUAUUUGAAUCCAAACUUAAAGAUUGCAGUU